rnacentral:rRNA from 1 species
GAUGAACGCUGGCGGCGUGCCUAAUACAUGCAAGUCGAGCGAACAGACGAGGAGCUUGCUCCUCUGACGUUAGCGGCGGACGGGUGAGUAACACGUGGAUAACCUACCUAUAAGACUGGGAUAACUUCGGGAAACCGGAGCUAAUACCGGAUAAUAUAUUGAACCGCAUGGUUCAAUAGUGAAAGACGGUUUUGCUGUCACUUAUAGAUGGAUCCGCGCUGCAUUAGCUAGUUGGUAAGGUAACGGCUUACCAAGGCGACGAUGCGUAGCCGACCUGAGAGGGUGAUCGGCCACACUGGAACUGAGGCACGGUCCAGACGCCUACGGGAGGCAGCAGUAGGGAAUCUUCCGCAAUGGGCGAAAGCCUGACGGAGCAACGCCGCGUGAGUGAUGAAGGUCUUCGGAUCGUAAAACUCUGUUAUUAGGGAAGAACAAAUGUGUAAGUAACUAUGCACGUCUUGACGGUACCUAAUCAGAAAGCCACGGCUAACUACGUG